UCUGGCAUCGGUCGGGCUCUAUUAUGUACUGUUGGCCAUGCUCAAUUUUUGUCAUCUCCCUUCACAACAGGUGAAAAGAAAACAAUUGCAUCAUACAAAGACAGCGUGCAGCACAGCAUGCAGCAUAACAUCGCACACUUCAAUCUCUUUCCUUGGGAUCUUGGCAGACUCAUCCCCACCAGAGAUGAGUCCAAUGAGAGUGGUGUCGUCUGCAAACUUCAGGAGCUUGACUGACUGAUGACUGGAGGUGCAGCUAUUGGUAUACAGGGAGAAGAGUAGAGGAGAAAGGACGCAGCCUUGAGGGGAGCCGGUGCUGAUGGUCCGGGAGUCGGAGACGUGUUUCCCCAGCUUCACGUGCUGCUUCCUGUCA